AGGUAUUUGUUGACGCCAAAGAUGUCCAAUACACGAAUGUACCAGAAGAUGAUGUCUAUGCAGUAGAUGACUCGGCCGUAGCCCAUGUACGGUUCAUGCUGGAGCCGCAACAUGAGCCCCAGAAGAAAGGUGGAAAUGGCCACCAGGUACAUGAUAGGAAGCGUCAUCUCCGAUACGGAAAUCCAACAGUAGAAUGAGAGGAGGAAAGAUGAUUCCCAGAAUGACCUAGCGUGCAGCGUGUUCGCAGGGCCAAGUUUCUGAGAAAGAGAAGGCCGGAGAGGAAGAGGAUGAAGCCUGGGAAUGGUGAGGAAAUGGUGAAUGUUGACGCCAUUCUCAAGCAGCAGUUUGACAAAGUCCACUCUGUCCAGCACCAGAGCAUCCAUCAUCGCCUGUUCCAGAGAGUUCACCUAACAGAAGGCCAGAGCCAAACUGAGCUGAUCUGCUGCUGAAGCAUUUGUGCCUGAAGCAAAAGAAACAGAAGGACAAAGAGACAAGAGAGAAGAUGAAGAGAGCAGGUAUUUGUAGCAUGCAGUGAGAGAUUGUAUUGCUAUUAGAGCAUUAGUUAAGUUUUAUGAUGCUGUUUUAUAAUACCUUUUAACAAGGCAGUGAGGAUGGCCAUUUCAAUAUCUUGUUGUCCCUCAGAACCCAUUCGAAAAACUGUAAUCUACAUGUGAGAAAAGAGUUGACAAAGAAGGAACGGUUGCAGAUGUGAGCUAGACAGUAAUUACGAACUACAUAAAUGAAUGAAUGAAUGAAUGAGUUUGUGUCAGAAAUACAUAGCGGUAAACACGUGGUAUCAACUGAUUUCCAGCAGGACUUUUCACUGCAGCACACUGUCGCUGACCUUUCGAUCGCAAACAGCUAAUUUACUGGUCAGACCGAGAGAUAGCAAUGGCCUUGUUACAGACUCAACUAUAUCAAAUGAAAUUACGCUGACGGGUCUGUCACAUGCAGCCGGGGUGAAUGGGAUUAGAUUGGCAUGAAUAUGUGGCACGGCGCCAGAGAUUUCCGAGCAGGCAUCAGGAUGCGUUAAUAAUGAGCAGCCUGAAUCAGUAUGAACACUGACAACUGUUGUUGCUCUUUCGUAGUUGUAGGGAAGACUGUGUGAGACCUUCCUAAGAGUGAACUCAUAGUUUAAGGUGAAAUGAUGCAUCCUGGUGUUACAUCACGGCAAAUUUCAGUCUUCUAAAUCAGUGUUUUUAUUUUUCUAACCCAGCUGUUCAUUUGGGAUGCACUUUGGUUGAAAGGAUUAUGUGGAGACUAGACAGCCACAGUUUUCCACCUGUAGGUUAAUCGUGGUACUUUAGUUUGAGAGCCAGUAAUAGUUUAGCCAAAUAGCUGUGUAUAAACUUGCCAGCUCUUUACCACAUUGUCUGCAUUGGGAAUCAGUGAAAACUAAAUGGCAGUGGAGGGGGAAAAAACUCAAAGUGGUGUGAUCUUUAGAAAAGCAGUUUAAGUUGCUUAUCUGAGUGUGUUGAAGCAUUAGGCGGUCUAAUACAUUAGGGAUAGAGAAUCCUGAGUGAAGUGAUAGCACUCUGGUGACUGAAAGCCUGGGGAGUGGAGAGAGGAACCUGGCUGAGGAUUAGGGAGAUGGAGCCUCUCCUCCAUCUGUGUGCUGCAUGCUUACUGUGAACAGAUGAA